AUCGAACGCUGGCGGCAGGCCUAACACAUGCAAGUCGAACGAGUGGAGCACGGGUGAGUAAUGUCUGGGAAACUGCCUGAUGGAGGGGGAUAACUAUUGGAAACGGUAGCUAAUACCGCAUACCAUCGGAUUUGCCCAGAUGGGAUUAGCUUGUAGGUGGGGUAAAGGCUCACCUAGGCGACGAUCCCUAGCUGGUCCGAGGGGAUGACCAGCCACACGGGAACUGAGCCACGGUCCAGACUCCUACGGGGGGCAGCAGUGGGGAAUAUUGGAAAUUGGGCGCAGGCCGGAUGCGGACCUCCCAGGGGUAUGAGAAAGGCGUUCGGGUUUUAAAGUACGUUAAUUUGGAAGGCGUUACCUACAGAAUAAGCACCGGCUAACUACGUGCCAGCAGCCGCGGUAAUAC
rnacentral:rRNA from 1 species